UCCGCUCCUCCGUCGCACCUUCCCUCUCGCCGCCGGCAAGCUCCCUCGUUUUCCUCUGGUGGUCCUCCCCGUCACCUUGCUCCCUUUGCUCAACCCUCGGCGGGAGAAGGAGUACAGGGGCGCCGGCCAGGUAGGGUGCCCUCGAUGCAGGAUGGUGCGGUCAGAUGUACCUGCAGCCGAAGUAAUAGGCAGAGGGAGAGAAGAUACCGAGGUCAUCGCGGCCGGUAAGAUCAGUGGCGGCGCUGCUUUGGGAGAGGUCGUGCGUCGAGCAGUGGCGACCGCGGCUGAUGCAGAUUACGCCAAGGUGAGGCUUCUUCCAAUCCGUUCUUCCCCUCUACUCCAGAUCUAUCUUCCUCUCAUGUAUGCACCGUGCUGAUCGAGAUCGUGGUGACAACCUUGCCCGCCCUGUUUACUUCCUCAUCACGGGCCAGUGACGGCAAACCCUAGCUCAUUGGAUUUCGUAGGCUGGUGCAGCCCAACGCGACCGCAGCUCGUGGACAACGGGGACCUGCACGACGGCUGCAGAGAUUCGUGGCGACAAUAACCACCAUUGUGAUUUCAAGUUGGGGAAAAUUUCAGUUUACGUGAUAUGCUACUGAAUAGAGGGAGCUUGAGCUGAUGUACGUUUUCUUCCCUGCUGCACCUUGGUAUGUCCAUUCAAGAAGGCAGGUAUAUUACUGAUAAAACCUACAUGAUGGAUGGAUGAUGUCCAUGCCUUGUGCGGAUUGGCAUGACAACGGCGACCGCAACCGCAAUGAGGCGGUGGUGAGGAUGCACCGAGUCUCAAGGGUGGAAGGGUGGCUGGAGGGAGCAGGAUCAACACGCUGCAGGCUACGGCCGUGGUGGAGAUGGAGGCGGCUACCUUGGCAAGGCAGCAAUAGUCACAUGGUACGUCUUCUCAUAAAUUGCUCUGAACUGAAUCGUCGCCGCUGCUCCCGCUGCACAGGCUAGGGCCACAUUCUCAACCGUACACAUGACUCUAAGCUUCCCACAACAUGUAUGCCAAAUUGUCUGGUCUAUUCUUUUUCACCUUCUUGUCUAUCAGGCAUAUCCAGAUACAAAUGUUAUGAACACUGUCAGAUCAAUUUUUGUUUUGUUUUUGUGGAUCUGCCUGGCUUUCCAAUGUUUAUGUUUUCCGUUAACCUCUUACAUGUCAUCAUUUAUUAUUUUGCUUUGUCGUAAAUUAAGUUGUUAGUAAUCAUCAAAUCAUUUUUUGGAAUCGAAUUAGGAUUCUGGACAAAUUAUUAUGUUUCAUGCAUGACUCCUGAAUAGUGAGCAUGGUUCUGUUUUUGGUGUGUUUGGGUUGUGAGCAUAAACUUCGCAAAUCACUAGCCGAUGAGAAGCAGCUGGGCAUACAUGGGUGCUAGGAUGGAGGCGAGAGAGAAUUGUAAGCACUUCAAUGAAGCUUACUGUAAGCACAGAAGCAAGGAAGGCGCCCAACCCUUGCGCGCCAUGUGAGCCUCUCAAGAUUAACCUUUUUAUAAGCACACUUGUUGUAAGCACUUCAUUUCAUAUGCCAAAAUGCACACUGAUUGUUAGCCUGAUCGUUAGCUUCUAUAAAUUAAAUUCAUAUUAACUUCCAAACUUUUAUUGUGAUGAUUUUAUGUUCACAGAGAACCAUCUACAAAAUGUUUUACUGGUGGUGUUAGAAACUGUUUUGAUUUCUUCAGAAUAUUGUCGUGCUUUAAAUUCUCUUCUUUCCUGAAUGAUAUCGUACUGAACCUCAAAAUUUCUGAACUUUGUGACCUGGGUCUAACAUGAUUUGAAGUCUUCUAUGUGGCAGAUGAGCAAUAGCUUUAUACAUUUUAUGUUUCAAGCAAGUAGGAAACAAGUUAACAUUACUUCUGCUUAGGCGAUGGCCAACGAAAAUCUUAAGUAAAAUAUAAAGUACUGUAUUGUUUGUUUCUGCUUUCUUCUUCCGAUUCUUGUAGUUGUGAUGCUCCGUUCCUAAAAGAUAAAAUUGCCAAUAUCUAGAUCUAUCAAAAGUUUUACUACAAUUUGAGUUUUUAUUUUUUAAAUGUUUAAUGGAACGUACAGGUAGUUCAUUCCUGGUCAGAAGAUCCUUUGCUUUUCCCUUAUCAAAUUAGCUUUCGGUGUUUUUUAUUUCUAUUGGUAUGUCCCUAGACAUAUGGAAGAAGAUUGCUAUGAUUUGAUUCUUAGUCCCAUGGUUAUAGAAAUGUACAUCGUUUAAACGUCACGUCUUGAUGGUAAAUGCUAUCUACCAUAUAUUUUUCGCCCUGGGUUAGCCGUGUUUUUACAUUCAAAUAAAGAACAGUGUUGAGCUGAAACCUGAAGAAACAAAUAAUCAGAUUGAACCACACAUUGUCCUGGUUAGCUGUAUUUGUGGUUGGUGCCCUGUUCUCAAAGAAUAUUGUGUUCUUAUCUUCCUGUUAAAAUUUGACCUCAAUUGUGGAUGUUAUCUUCUCCAUCUGUUACUUUGUUUGCUGAUAGACAAAGUGUAUAUCAAUGAAAGUAUGUACCAUCUGAUAUUUACUUGUCUGAAAUUAUGUAGGGACUAUUUGAUUUAGUCGAAUUUUGAAUGAGUUGUUGCCGGUGUUUCUUGUAGUUUAGGCUACCGCUACCACCAACUGAUAAAGUUUUGUUUUUCCCUUACCGGAGUUGUUUAAGAAUCACAUAAAAAUAUUUAUAAUUUGCUUGUUGGCUAUAAAGUUGUUGGGAGCACAUCUGUACUUUGUCCGCUAGGGAGUAGGGAAUUGGCAAGUUAUUAUCUGCUCCAUGCUUUUUGUUCUUACAAUGAGUUGCAGGUUCAUGAUUGUUGCAGAGGUUGCAGACACUUUCAAUACAUGCAGUUCAUGAAAGCUCUUUCAUCUGGAUUACAGACAAGGUUCGAUUAUCUGCCCCUUCCAAAUCUAUGUAGAAACAACCAAGGAGAUGUUCUCUCUGUGCCGGAUUACAUGAACCCCUUCUCUGCUGCAGUACAUCGAAUCUACUGUUCCACCUUCCAUAAUAAUUCAAGCCUAGCUGCUGACCUCCGUUUGCUCUGACAUGUAUGUGUGUUCCUUUUGUUAGUGUACACCACCAACUCGAUGUGUGCUAAUUUGUUCAGACAUCGUUUUAACCUUGCGUUUAAAUUAAACUCAUGGAACCAUUGUAUUAGCCGCUUGUAUUUCAAUCAACAAAACUCAAUUGUACGUGAUGUUUUCUGGUAAGCAUUGUUGUAAACAAGUUUUGUCAA